rnacentral:rRNA from 1 species
AGGGGGGGGUAAGCUAACGUAUCCUGCCUGGUAGCCCCGGAUGAAUAAUGGAAUCAAAGGGUGACACCUCCCGGAUAUUCUGUGUGCGCUGCUUGUUGGUUGUGGUGAAGAUGGCUCUCUAUCGGAGGUACCGGUGUGGGAUGGGCUCGCGGCUGAUGAGACAGCUCACGGGGUGAUGGACAACCAAGGCAGUGACGAGUGGCCGGGCUGAGAGGGUGACUCGUCACCUUGGGACUGAGACACGGACCACACUCCUACGGGAGGUCGCAAUGGGGAAUAUUGCUGAACGGGCAAACCCUGAGGCUGAAACACCUCUUUUGAUAGGAAAGCCUUCGUGUUGUUGCCUCUUACGACCGUGAGGAAGGAUUGCCCCUUGAAGGUUGCUUACACGAGAGGGGGCGCUAACUACCUGGCUAGCUCCGAGCUAAUACCUACGUUCAUACCUAUGCCCCGAUCUAUUUCGUGAAAAUAUUAAUCCAAAAGAUUUAAUAAAGUCUGAAGGUAAAGUCUGUGGGUUAAAUCCCUAUGGUUCAUUUGGGACUGUGUGAUGUGAAUGCGACAGCUUAGAUUGGGAUAUCCGUAGUACUGAGAACUGAAAUGCGUAGCAGAUGUGAUGCAAACCCUUCCGGCUGAACCCGCUCUCCGCGCUUGCAGUUCUCUA